AUUGAACGCUGGCGGAAUGCUUUACACAUGCAAGUCGAUCGGCAGCACGGGUGCUUGCACCUGGUGGCGAGUGGCGAACGGGUGAGUAAUACAUCGGAACGUACCCAGUCGUGGGGGAUAACGUAGCGAAAGUUACGCUAAUACCGCAUACGUCCUGAGGGAGAAAGCGGGGGACCGUAAGGCCUCGCGCGAUUGGAGCGGCCGAUGGCGGAUUAGCUAGUUGGUGGGGUAAAGGCCUACCAAGGCGACGAUCCGUAGCGGGUCUGAGAGGACGGCCCGCCACACUGGAACUGAGACACGGUCCAGACUCCUACGGGAGGCAGCAGUGGGGAAUUUUGGACAAUGGGCGAAAGCCUGAUCCAGCCAUUCCGCGUGAGUGAAGAAGGCCUUCGGGUUGUAAAGCUCUUUCGGCAGGGAAGAAACGGCUUGGGAUAAUACCCCGGGCUAAUGACGGUACCUGAAGAAGAAGCACCGGCUAUUUUCGUGCCAGCCGCCGCCGUAA
rnacentral:rRNA from 1 species